UACAGCCAUGCCUAGCCUCCACUAGGUC
rnacentral:piRNA from 1 species